GACGAACGCUGGCGGCGUGCCUAAUACAUGCAAGUAGAACGCUGAAGGAGGAGCUUGCUUCGCUGGAUGAGUUGCGAACGGGUGAGUAACGCGUAGGUAACCUGCCUGGUAGCGGGGGAUAACUAUUGGAAACGAUAGCUAAUACCGCAUAAUAGUAGAUGUUGCAUGACAUUUGCUUAAAAGGUGCAAUUGCAUCACUACCAGAUGGACCUGCGUUGUAUUAGCUAGUUGGUGAGGUAACGGCUCACCAAGGCAACGAUACAUAGCCGACCUGAGAGGGUGAUCGGCCACACUGGGACUGAGACACGGCCCAGACUGCUACGGGGAGCAGCAGUAGGGAAUCUUCGGAAAUGGACGGAAGUCUGACUGAGCAACGCCGCGGGAGGGAAGAAGGUUUUCGGAUCGUAAAGCUCUGUUUUAAGGGAAGAACGAGUGUGAGAGUGGAAAGUUCACAGUGUGACGGUAUCUUACCAGAAAGCGACGGCUAACUACGUG
rnacentral:rRNA from 1 species